AUAGAAUAAAAUAAAAUAAAGAUUUAUGGGUUUUUUUUUAUUUUUUUCUUCUCUCUUCACCCCCUCCCCCUUGCUUUUUCUUCGCGCCGCCUCAGUCGCUCACCGUUCAAUAGCCGCCCUCAUUUACGCUGUCGCUUAAUCCGCUUGGUUCCAUUGCAAAUCUAGUCGCGUCGACCUCCUUGUGCCUCAGUCAGCGCUGCCCAGAUUGAAAGACAAUCGUCCGUUGAAGCCCCGCGCCUCCUCGCGUUUCCGUUCGCGAGCACGCCCGAGCCGCCAUCCUUCGUUCGCUAUUGUGGCCCACCCAGCCGAGGGCGCCGCUCGUUCGCCAGCCACACCACACCAGAUCCGCCUCCCACUCGCGAAGCCGAGUCGCCCAGCCGCAGAACUCUGUGCGUCGAUCUCCCUAGCUGGUCGCCCCGCCUCUACCGCCAUCGAUUGUUGCUGGUUCUGUGGGUGGAUUUGGAGAUUUGAAGGUUUUGAGAUACUGUCCGACGGGGUUGAAGGUUUUUUUGGUGUGUCAUAAGUCGUUUUCCAGCAGAUUUGAAGUUGUUUCGAAGGAUUUUAGUUGGAGUCUAUUGGUGAAUUAAUAAAGCGGAUUUGGAUUUAGCUUAAUUUUUGGGUUUGUGGGGAGCUAGCCAGGAGUUUCUUCGCUUGAACUAAUUUUGGGCUGAAUUAGAGGUAAAUAAUCUUACUACUGGAACUGCCCAUGGGCCAUGCACUAGAUGUAUGAUAUUAUGACAGAAUGAUAGCAUGACUGACUGAUAGCUUGGAAAAUACAAGCUAUUGCUGCUUUUUGCUUAGAAUUAUGAAGGUUGAUAAGCAAAAUAUGCGUCAAUAAUGCUAAGGAUUCAUGUGGAAAAAUGAGUUUGCGUCAAUCAACACUGAAAAUCCUUGCUAACCUUAUAUAAUGCGUUAUUUUGCGUCAAAAUAUCUAUUUUGUAGUUGUCACAGGAAUCAAGAGCAUACGUUGACCUUUAUGAAGACAUGUUCGUCGCACGAAAUUCCGCAACUACAAAGUGAUAACCAUGAUAGAAGUAUGAUUGCAAAGAGUAGGUAGAAUGCGUUGAUCCUUCAUGAGGAACGAAUAUGAACGCAUGCCUCGAGAUUUCUGAAAUCGUACAACAAAUAUUCUGACGUGCUUCCUGAUCAUUGACUAUGAUGCAACGCUGACAUUCUUACCUACCACACCAGUGAUGGUGGCUAAUCAGAGCAGGAUUACCAAUGUUAUCGGCGUUUGAGCUCUAUAAAUAGAGCUUUUGAGCCCAAAUUAAAAGCAUCCGGGAAUCCUUCAUUGGGCAGAUUCCUGCAGUCACAGACGAGAGCAUCAACAAGAAAUUCUCUGAGAGUUUUUCACUUCUACAACCCUUUCCGAUUGACGAUCGGAGCUUCAUCGGAAUAGAGCUCGAAAGAGAUUACUCCACUGCCCAUCCAUGGUACCACUGACAGCCUUAACACACAUCUGAUGGAAGCAAUAGAUUGCCAACAUCGAGCCCUCCACCUCUCACCUUACCUCUGUAUUAUAUUACAUUUUAGCUUAAGACAUUAAUACAUUUUGUAAUCAAUGCAUCUCUUUAGUUCCUUCAA